rnacentral:rRNA from 1 species
CACGCCUAACACAUGCAAGUCGAACGCAGUAGCAAUACUGAGUGGCAAACGGGUGAGUAUAAUGUGGGAAUCUGCCUUUUGGUUCGGAAUAACACGAGGAAACUUGUGCUAAUACCGGAUAAGUCCUAACGGAGAAAGUUUUAAUGCCAAAAGAUGAGCCCGCAUUUGAUUAGCUAGUUGGUAAGGUAAAAGCUUACCAAGGCGACAAUCAAUAGCUGAUUUGAGAGGAUGAUCAGCCACAUUGGGACUGAGACACGGCCCAAACUCC